UACGUAGGGUGCGAGCGUUGUCCGGAAUUACUGGGCGUAAAGAGCUCGUAGGUGGUUUGUCGCGUUGUUCGUGAAAACUCACAGCUCAACUGUGGGCGUGCGGGCGAUACGGGCAGACUGGAGUACUGCAGGGGGAGACUGGAAUUCCUGGUGUAGCGGUGGAAUGCGCAGAUAUCGGGAAGAACACCGGUGGCGAAGGCGGCUCUCUGGACCUGUCCUGACGCUCAGGCGCGAAAGCUAGGGGAGCGAACAGGA
rnacentral:rRNA from 1 species